rnacentral:lncRNA from 1 species
UUUACAACAUACGUAUUAUUAUAAAAAUAUUUUGCCGCAAUAGUAAUUUGCUAAAGAAUUUCAAUUUUUGUUAAUUUGUAUUAGUCCUAAGAUAGCAAAUUUAGUAAUUUCUAAAUCCCAUCAAUUUAGAUUUUAUCGCCUACAGUGGUGGAAAGGUGUUGAGCCAUUACAUGACAGCGUGGGUUAAAACCCGUCAGUAGCUAAUCUAACAUCUAAUAUAACAA